UACGUAGGGGGCAAGCGUUGUCCGGAAUUAUUGGGCGUAAAGAGCGUGUAGGCGGUCCGGUAAGUCAGCUGUGAAAGUCAAGGGCUCAACCCUUGAAAGCCGGUUGAUACUGUCGGGCUAGAGUCCGGAAGAGGCGAGUGGAAUUCCCGGUGUAGCGGUGAAAUGCGCAGAUAUCGGGAGGAACACCAAUGGCGAAGGCAGCUCGCUGGGACGGUACUGACGCUGAGGCGCGAAAGCUAGGGUAGCAAACAGG
rnacentral:rRNA from 1 species